rnacentral:lncRNA from 1 species
AAGGAAAGCCAGCUAUGUCAUGUGGACACUCGAGCAGUCCUCUGGAGUGAGCCACAUGGUGAAAAAUGGAGUCCUCCUGCCACCAGCCAAAAGGGACUUGCCAGCCUUGUGACUGAGCUGGCCCAGACACUCCAGCCCCAGUUAAACCUUUGGAAGACUGUGGCCUCGCCAACAUCUUGACUGCAACUUCGUGAGAGACCCAGAGCUAGACCCAUGCAACUAAGCUGCUCCCCAAUUCCUGGCCCACAGACACUGGGAGAGAUAAUACAUGUUUAUUUCUGUUCGAAGCUGCUAAGUUUUGGGUAAUUUGUUUUGCAGCAAUAGGAAUCAGGACACUUUGCCUGCUCAGAGGGAGAGAGGGAAAGAGACAGAGACACAAACACAGAGAGACAGUGACAUGGAGAAGUGCGCCGUGGGCUCACAGUACCAUGUGAAGGACUGGGGCUGCCCUUCUGUAAAGUGAAGGCAGUGGAGAAGUGAAGUGAAGUGUAAAUGAAGCGGAAAGUGAAGGAUGGUGGAGAGCACCCUUGCCCUUGCAGCCUGGCUGUGCUUGGCUUGGGGCUGCUGGUCUCUGACCCUGGCUGGGCUGGUGACACAGCCUAAGGUACCUGGGGGUGGAAUCUGGCGCCCCUGAGCAGACCCCUCCCUGGCUCUUGUCCCCCUGUGCUGACACUCUCUGUCCC